AAAAACUAUAAUUCUUUAAAUAAGGAUAAAAUUGUAAUUUGAAACUAUUUACUCCCAAUCCAAGACAAAGUAAACACAUAAAUUAGAUUCUGAUCUCUAUUCCAUGCUUCCAUUCCAGUGUAAGUAAACAACCUACUCCCACUCCACACUCCCAAUUUUAGGAUUUCCACUCCUCAGGAUUCCCAAUCCAAUCCAAAAAGUAAACUCUACCUAAGUGAGGCCACUGCUUUGAUUCUCAUUUCAUCUUUUAUUUAAGUAAGUAAAUACAUAAUUCAUGCCCAUUCUUUGAUUCUCAUUCUCAUUCUUAAUAAGCAAACACACCAUAACAAGAAAGAAUAAACUUUUUAGAAUCUAAAGAAAUCACUACGUAGGUUGAGGAAUGUCGGUGAGUUUUGGUUUCACGCUUACAGAGAAAAUGCUCUUUUAUCUUUUGUGUAUUAUUGUAAAUUGAAAUGCGGAUAAAAUUGUAAUUAUAACAGGGGGUUUGAUAAAGAUGUUCUUAAGGGUGCCCAUUGUGUCACUCUCCAAUAAAAUGGUCGUUGGGCCCAACUUCCUUAACCCAAAUUUGCUUGGGCUGAACACAACCUCAUACAAUCCACGUCAUUGUGUUUCAUUCAACCACAAUCUUGAACAUUGAAACUAUCCCAUGAAAGAAUAAAAUACAAUAGAGUAAUGUAAUACUUAAUUGAGAUACUUAAUUUGUAUAUUAGUUGAUGUGGUAAAUUAUUUGAUAUUAUUUAAUUGAUUUAGGAAAUAAUUAGUUAUUA
rnacentral:lncRNA from 1 species